rnacentral:rRNA from 1 species
UACAUGGGGUGCAAACGUUGCUCGGAAUUAUUGGGCGUAAAGCGCGCGUAGGCGGUUACUUAAGUCGGAUGUGAAAGCCCUCGGCUUAACUGAGGAAGUGCACCCGAAACUGAGUAGCUAGAGUACUAAAGAGGGUCGCGGAAUUCCCGGUGUAGAGGUGAAAUUCGUAGAUAUCGGGAGGAACACCGGUGGCGAAGGCGGCGACCUGGGUAGAGACUGACGCUGAGGCGCGAAAGCUAGGGGAGCAAACAGG